GACGAACGCUGGCGGCGUGCUUAACACAUGCAAGUCGAACGGAAAGGCCCUGCUUUUGUGGGGUGCUCGAGUGGCGAACGGGUGAGUAACACGUGAGUAACCUGCCCUUGACUUUGGGAUAACUUCAGGAAACUGGGGCUAAUACCGGAUAGGAGCUCCUGCUGCAUGGUGGGGGUUGGAAAGUUUCGGCGGUUGGGGAUGGACUCGCGGCUUAUCAGCUUGUUGGUGGGGUAGUGGCUUACCAAGGCUUUGACGGGUAGCCGGCCUGAGAGGGUGACCGGCCACAUUGGGACUGAGAUACGGCCCAGACUCCUACGGGAGGCAGCAGUGGGGAAUAUUGCACAAUGGGCGGAAGCCUGAUGCAGCAACGCCGCGUGCGGGAUGACGGCCUUCGGGUUGUAAACCGCUUUCGCCUGUGACGAAGCGUGAGUGACGGUAAUGGGUAAAGAAGCACCGGCUAACUACGUGCCAGCAGCCGCGGUGAUACGUAGGGUGCGAGCGUUGUCCGGAUUUAUUGGGCGUAAAGGGCUCGUAGGUGGUUGAUCGCGUCGGAAGUGUAAUCUUGGGGCUUUUCCUGAGCGUGCUUUCGAUACGGGUUGACUUGAGGAAGGUAGGGGAGAAUGGAAUUCCUGGUGGAGCGGUGGAAUGCGCAGAUAUCAGGAGGAACACCAGUGGCGAAGGCGGUUCUCUGGGCCUUUCCUGACGCUGAGGAGCGAAAGCGUGGGGAGCGAACAGGCUUAGAUACCCUGGUAGUCCACGCUGUAAACGGUGGGUACUAGGUGUGGGGUCCAUUCCACGGGUUCCGUGCCGUAGCUAACGCUUUAAGUACCCCGCCUGGGGAGUACGGCCGCAAGGCUAAAACUCAAAGGAAUUGACGGGGCCCCGCACAAGCGGCGGAGCAUGCGGAUUAAUUCGAUGCAACGCGUAGAACCUUACCUGGGUUUGACAUGGAUCGGGAGCGCUCAGAGAUGGGUGUGCCUCUUUUGGGGUCGGUUCACAGGUGGUGCAUGGCUGUCGUCAGCUCGUGUCGUGAGAUGUUGGGUUAAGUCCCGCAACGAGCGCAACCCUUGUUCACUGUUGCCAGCACGUUAUGGUGGGGACUCAGUGGAGACCGCCGGGGUCAACUCGGAGGAAGGUGGGGAUGACGUCAAGUCAUCAUGCCCCUUAUGUCCAGGGCUUCACGCAUGCUACAAUGGCUGGUACAGAGAGUGGCGAGCCUGUGAGGGUGAGCGAAUCUCGGAAAGCCGGUCUCAGUUCGGAUUGGGGUCUGCAACUCGACCUCAUGAAGUCGGAGUCGCUAGUAAUCGCAGAUCAGCAACGCUGCGGUGAAUACGUUCCCGGG
rnacentral:rRNA from 1 species